rnacentral:lncRNA from 1 species
GGACAACUCAGUAGCUUCAUGGUAUCAAUAAAGAAAGGAAAAUACUUGUAAUAGCACCUUAGCAGGUCCUUUAUUUGUGGAUUUUUCAUGGUAUGGCACCUAGCAAGUUCUUCUUAAAUUUAUUCAUUUUUAAAAGUUAUCCACCGAUUCCCUAGUUACUGUUUUGCUUCCUUGAUAAAAAUAGAAAACAAUAGAGAGGG